AUGAAGCACUCGGCAGAGAACCGCGGGAUCAAGGGCUCCCACGGAGGUGACGCCGUCGACCCGACCUCGCUGCUCAAGGAAGAUUGCGACGUGCUCAUCCCGGCAGCUCUGGGAGGAGUGAUAAACAAGGACAAUGCUGAUGCCAUCAAAACAAAGUACAUCAUCAAGGCUGCUAACCACCCAACAGACCCCGAGGCCGACGAGAUUCUGGCAAAGAAGGGCGUGCUGAUCCUACUGGACAUCCUGGCCAACUCCGGCGGAGUGAUGGUGAGCUACUUCGAGUGGGUGCGAGGAGAAGGUGAAUUGGGAGCUCAAGACGUACAUGACCCGCGCCUCAAACAUAGUUCUGAUUAUUUAGCCAGUGUAUGGGGCUGUAUAUCUUCGAAAACCAGAAUUGGCUCAAUUUGA
rnacentral:rRNA from 1 species